GGUAUGCACUGGCUUCGCUGAUUCCUCCUUUCUGAAGAACUGUAAUGCCAUUAAUUUGGUGUUGCAGGGAAACAGGACUGUUACUUUGAAAAAAUUAGAGUGUUUAAAGCAGGCUAACGCUUGAAUACAUUAGCAUGGAAUAAUGAAAUAGGACGUUUGAUCCUAUUUUGUUGGUUUCUAGGAUUGACGUAAUGAUUAAUAGGGAUAGUUGGGGGCAUUAGUAUUCAAUUGUCAGAGGUGAAAUUCUUGGAUUUAUUGAAGACUAACUACUGCGAAAGCAUUUGCCAAGGAUGUUUUCAUUAAUCAAGAACGAAAGUUAGGGGAUCGAAGACGAUCAGAUACCGUCGUAGUCUUAACCAUAAACUAUGCCGACUAGGGAUCGGAUGAUGUUAAUUUUUUAAUGACUCAUUCGGCGCCUUACG
rnacentral:rRNA from 1 species